rnacentral:rRNA from 1 species
UUCGCAAUGCCCGAAAGGGUGACGAUGCGACGCCGCGUGAGCGAAGAAGGCCCUAGGGUUGUAAAGCUCUGUCGAGGGUUAUGAAAUAUAGAUGGGCUAAUACCCCAUUUAUUUGACAAAAGCCCAAAAGGAAGCCACGGCUAACUCUGUGCCAGCAGCCGCGGUAAUACAGAGGUGGCGAGCGUUGUUCGGUAUUAUUGGGCGUAAAGAGCACGUAGGUGGUUUUGUAAGUCAGGUGUGAAAGCCUUCUGUUCAAAGGAAGAACGGCAUCUGAAACUGCAGAUCUUGAGUGUAGGAGGGGAGAGUGGAACUUCUGGUGGAGCGGUGAAAUGCGUAGAUAUCAGAAGGAACGUCGGCGGCGAAAGCGACUCUCUGGCCUAUUACUGACACUGAGGUGCGAAAGUUAGGGGAGCAAACGGGAUUAGAUACCCCGGUAGUCCUGACCGUAAACGAUGGGCACUAAGUAGAGGGGUUUU